rnacentral:rRNA from 1 species
GACGUAGGAUGCGAGCGUUGUCCGGAUUUAUUGGGCGUAAAGAGUUCGUAGGUGGUUCAUUAAGUCUGGUGUUAAAGACCGGGGCUCAACCUCGGGAUCGCACUGGAUACUGGUGGACUGGAGUGCAGUAGAGGCAAGCGGAAUUCCAGGUGUAGCGGUGAAAUGCGUAGAUAUCUGGAAGAACACCGGUGGCACAAGCGGCUUGCUGGGCUGUAACUGACACUGAGGAACGAAAGCUAGGGGAGCAAAUGGG